GCUGCCAAGACCUUCAGGGGUGUUACCAGCGAGGGUGUGGAAGCUGCCAGGUGCCCUGAGGAAGCUGCCAUGCCCUGCAUGCCUGUGUAUUAGAAAGCCAAGGAAGGGAAAUGGAUUAAAAAAAAAAAAAAGGAGCCUCUCUCACACGCCAGGAAGCACUCACCUAGCUGUGCUUGCAGUUGCCCUGCAAAAGAAAGCAGAAGGGCCAUUACAAACUGCAGGGGGAGGCAUUGCAUGCACAAAGUGCUCUGAGCAAGUACCCUUGUCGGGUUACGAUUCUCGGGAGAAGGCAGCAGCCUUCGGCAACUAGUCCAGCACUGUGCUGCUGUGCAGCCCUGCCCUGGCAAGACCCUUGGCACCUGGGCUCACACA
rnacentral:lncRNA from 1 species